GGCAGUGAGGCAGGGGCUAGGAGCGAGUGAGGGGCAGCAAGGCCGGGAUUCACAGCGUGUGGCGCAGGGCUUUUGCCCGUAACGUAGAUUUUCCUGCCUGAGCAGCGGCACUGAUCCAGAUUGACAGCGUGUGCACGGUCCCGGUGUGGGAGCUGCCGCAAAUACCCAGCAUCUGGAUUAGUGGCGCUGGCAGAGCACAGCAGCUUUCCCCGAAGUGAGUUACAAUGGCCUCUGCACAACCUUUCAGAAACAGUUUGGAUGGUGCUUUAACAGAAGAUGAUAAAAACUGCCAGCUGGAGGACUCCUUUCAGGAGAUCAACACAAUUGUUGGUGAAAUUGAGGACGAACAAAUAGAGACAGUUUUAUAUUACUGUGACGAGCUGUUAGAAAUGGACCCAACAGAUAUCAUGACGUUAUACAGCAAGGGAA